UGAGAGUCUAACUGUCUCUUUUAGUCAAUCAAUUAAACUGAUCUCCUAGUAAAAAAGCUAGAAUAUUUACAUAAGACCAGAAGACCCUGCGAAGCUUAAACCAAACUAUUAAAUCACAUAAUAGCUACUUUCGGUUGGGGCGACCUUGGAAAAAAAAAGAACUUCCAAACACAAUGAUCUUAAUCAUAUACUAGGCCCACAAGCCAUAAACCUAUGACCCAGCUAAAGCUGAUAAUUGAACCAAGUUACUCCAGGGAUAACAGCGCUAUCUUCUUCAAGAGCCCAUAUCAAAAAGAAGGUUUACGACCUCGAUGUUGGAUCA
rnacentral:rRNA from 2 species